rnacentral:rRNA from 1 species
GAUGAACGCUAGCGGCAGGCUUAAUACAUGCAAGUUGAGGGGCAGCAUGAUAUACGCGAGUAUAUUGAUGGCGACCGGCGGACGGGUGAGUAAUAGGUAGGAGACCUACCUCAUACAGGGGGAUAGCAUAGAGAAAUCUGUGGUAAUACCCCAUGAGGUUAUAUGAAUAGAGGCAUAUAAUCAAAGCAUAAGCGAUUAUGCGGUAUGAGAGGGGCCUACUGACCAUUAGCUAGUUGGUGAGGUAAGGGCUCACCAAGGCGAAGAUGGUUAGGGGUUUUGAGAGAGAGACCCCCCACAUUGGAACUGAGAGACGGUCCAGACUCCUACGGGAGGCAGCAGUAGGGAAUAUUGGGCAAUGGGCGAAAGCCUGACCCAGCCAUGCCGCGUGAAGGAAGACGGGCCUUAAUGGGUUGUAAACUUUCUUUACUACGCGAAUAGAGGUUAGUACGAGAUACUAAUAGGAAGGUAGUGUAAGUAAAAGCAACCGGUAAC